UACGUAGGGUGCAAGCGUUAAUCGGAAUUACUGGGCGUAAAGCGUGCGCAGGCGGUUUUGUAAGUCUGUCGUGAAAGCCCCGGGCUCAACCUGGGAAUUGCGAUGGAGACUGCAAGGCUUGAAUCUGGCAGAGGGGGGUAGAAUUCCACGUGUAGCAGUGAAAUGCGUAGAGAUGUGGAGGAACACCGAUGGCGAAGGCAGUGUCCUGGCUGGUGACUGACGCUGAGGUGCGAAAGCGUGGGGAGCAAACAGG
rnacentral:rRNA from 1 species